rnacentral:rRNA from 1 species
CCUACGGGUGGCUGCAGUAGGGAAUAUUGGGCAAUGGGCGCGAGCCUGACCCAGCCAUGCCGCGUGACGGAUGAAGGCCUUCUGGGUUGUAAACGUCUUUUGACCGGGAAGAAAAAGCCCUUGCGAGGGAAAUCGACGGUACCGGUUGAAUAAGCACCGGCUAACUCCGUGCCAGCAGCCGCGGUAAUACGGAGGGUGCAAGCGUUGUCCGGAUUUAUUGGGUUUAAAGGGUGCGUAGGUGGCCCUGCAAGUCCGUGGUGAAAGCCUGCUGCUCA